rnacentral:rRNA from 1 species
GGGGGGGCAAGCGUUUGUUCGGAAUUACUGGGCGUAAAGGGCGCGUAGGCGGACCAGACAGUCUCUCGUGAAAUCCCACGGCUCAACCGUGGAACUGCGGGGGAUACUACUGGUCUUGAGUUCGGGAGAGGAGUGUGGAAUUCCCAGUGUAGCGGUGAGAUGCGUAGAUAUUGGGAGGAACACCGGUGGCGAAGGCGGCACUCUGGACCGAAACUGACGCUGAGGCGCGAAAGCUAGGGGAGCAAACGGGAUUAGAUACCCCGGGUAGUCCUAGCUGUAAACGAUGAGCACUUGGUGUAGCGGGUAUCGACCCCCCUGCUGUGCCGGAGUUAACGCAUUAAGUGCUCCGCCUGGGGAGUACGGUCGCAAGGCUG